CAAUAUCUAUCAAGUAUCCUUUCAUAACAAUCAUACAAGCCUCAAAAAAAUCAAAUCUCCAUUUAAUAGUAGAUUCAAUCAAAGAUCUCAUUAAUAAAAGCAAAAGAUCUCCAUAUCAAUUCCUAAAUCUAAAAUUUAUAAAUUAUAAAUUCACAUAGAUCCCAUAAACUCAAAUAAAUAUAAAUCAGAUCUUUUAUCUUAUUCUAAAUAUAUCAGUUAUUCAUUAACAAUCUC
rnacentral:lncRNA from 1 species